CCUCAGGCUGUAUUUUAUGAGUUCUCUUUGCUACAUAGAUUUUUCUGUCACGGAUCAUUUAAAUAUAAGCCAAACAAUAAAUAAUACAUCCACUUCUGUGCUCCUGCCCUGCCGACGUGUCACCUGAAGCUGAUGACGUCACAGAUACAAAAUCUCCCUGAAAGCAACUAAAGAAAACCUGUUGCUGCUUCUGCUGUGUGCCACAUUUCCAUCUCCUGAUCUCUCUUGCUGUGGGGCAAUUUGUGUUGGAGCCUGCGUACUUGGGAGGAAACAAGGACAUUUCUUUUUUUGUGGGGAAGGGAUUUAUGUUUAUUUUGGAAUGGACAUUUAAAAAAUACAAAAAACUGUGGAACAAACAUUUCUGUUGUUGGUGUUAUGUGUAAAACAAUUGUUUGUCAUUCAUUGUAUUUAAGGUUCUACACCUUGAAGUGUAUGGUCCUUGUGUGACUGGUAAAAAACAAAACAAAAAAAACUUAAAAUCCUACUUGUCAGGAGGGAUACCUGACUGGCACCCCUAUAGGUA